rnacentral:rRNA from 1 species
CUACCCUUGACAUGUAUGGAAUCCUGCUGAGAGGUGGGAGUGCCCGAAAGGGAGCCAUAACACAGGUGCUGCAUGGCUGUCGUCAGCUCGUGUCGUGAGAUGUUGGGUUAAGUCCCGCAACGAGCGCAACCCUUGUCCCUAGUUGCUACGCAAGAGCACUCUAGGGAGACUGCCGGUGACAAACCGGAGGAAGGUGGGGAUGACGUCAAGUCCUCAUGGCCCUUAUGGGUAGGGCUUCACACGUCAUACAAUGGUCGGAACAGAGGGUCGCCAACCCGCGAGGGGGAGCCAAUCCCAGAAAACCGAUCGUAGUCCGGAUCGCACUCUGCAACUCGAGUGCGUGAAGCUGGAAUCGCUAGUAAUCGCGGAUCAGC